rnacentral:rRNA from 1 species
UACGGAGGAUGCAAGCGUUAUCCGGAUUUAUUGGGUUUAAAGGGAGCGUAGGCGGACUAUUAAGUCAGCUGUGAAAGUUUACGGCUCAACCGUGAAAUUGCAGUUGAAACUGGUCGUCUUGAGUGCAGUAAAGGUGGGCGGAAUUCGUGGUGUAGCGGUGAAAUGCUUAGAUAUCACGAAGAACUCCAAUUGCGAAGGCAGCUCACUGGAGUGUAACUGACGCUGAUGCUCGAAAGUGUGGGUAUCAAACAGGAUUAGAUACCCGCGUAGU